GUGCCAGCCGCCGCGGUAAUACGAAGGGGGCUAGCGUUGUUCGGAAUUACUGGGCGUAAAGCGCACGUAGGCGGAUUGUUAAGUCGGGGGUGAAAUCCCAGGGCUCAACCCUGGAACUGCCUCCGAUACUGGCAUUCUUGAGUCCGAGAGAGGUGAGUGGAAUUCCGAGUGUAGAGGUGAAAUUCGUAGAUAUUCGGAAGAACACCAGUGGCGAAGGCGGCUCACUGGCUCGGAACUGACGCUGAGGUGCGAAAGCGUGGGGAGCAAACAGGAUUAGAUACCCCCGUAGUCC
rnacentral:rRNA from 1 species